rnacentral:misc_RNA from 1 species
UGGAGCUGCUCUUAACACGUUUAUACACUGGUCCUUCGAGAUUUGGAUCUUGAGAGAUGGAAUUUUUCUAUGUUCCCUAAUCCCUUUUUUCUUUCUAAUUUGUUGGUUGAGAGGGCAACCUCAAACUGUAAUAACACCAUAUAAGGGCUCCAAGGAGCUCAUGGUGCCUAGAUUGUCACUGAUCUCCCAGACUUCCUCAAAAAGACUUCUAGACACUUUCCAUACUCCAUUACAUUAGCCACUACUGUUUUCACCUCUUCAUGGAUAGAGUUCUGAACUUAGAUUGCUGCUUCAUUUCUCUUUUACCAACUAGCAUUUUUUGGUGGUUAACUCAUUUGGCAUGACUAUUGAUUUCCGUUGUUUUUCUCUUGGAAACACAAAGUGCAAAAGGUGGUGUCUUUUAAAUGACAGUUGUUGGUAGAAGCAUAUCUGUUCGAUUGAUCCUUCUUUUUUCCUCUUACAUCAAUCCUUAAAAAAUAUAUCCCAG